rnacentral:rRNA from 1 species
GACGAACGCUGGCGGCGUGCUUAACACAUGCAAGUCGAACGGAAAGGCCCUGCUUUUGUGGGGUGCUCGAGUGGCGAACGGGUGAGUAACACGUGAGUAACCUGCCCUUGACUUUGGGAUAACUUCAGGAAACUGGGGCUAAUACCGGAUAGGAGCUCCUGCUGCAUGGUGGGGGUUGGAAAGUUUCGGCGGUUGGGGAUGGACUCGCGGCUUAUCAGCUUGUUGAUGGGGUAGUGGCUUACCAAGGCUUUGACGGGUAGCCGGCCUGAGAGGGUGACCGGCCACAUUGGAAUGGAGAUACGGCCAGACUCCUACGGGAGGCAGCAGUGGGGAAUAUUGCACAAUGGGCGGAAGCCUGAUGCAGCAACGCCGCGUGCGGGAUGACGGCCUUCGGGUUGUAAACCGCUUUCGCCUGUGACGAAGCGUGAGUGACGGUAAUGGGUAAAGAAGCACCGGCUAACUACGUG